UUACUAGUUUAUAUCACUGUACGCAGUAAAAAUAAUAAUUCAUUAAAAAGUUUUAAUAAUAUGAUAAAUUAAUUACUUAACAGACGUUUUACAACAAUGGGGAGUAUAUUAUUAGACAAGGUGCCCGAGGAGACACUUUCUUUAUCAUCAGCAAGGGUACGGUAAAAGUAACUAUGAAGAUUCCAGAAUUAGACGAAGUAAAGUUUGUCCGGACCUUACAUCGUGGAGAUUUUUUUGGGGAAAAAGCACUCCAAAGAGAGGACCUCCGGACAGCCAACAUAAUUGCUAAUGAUCCUCAAGGUGUAACCUGUUUAGUUAUAGAUAGAGAGUAAGUAUCUACUG